rnacentral:tRNA from 1 species
GGAUGUAGCUCAGUGGUAGAGCACUUGCCUAGCAUGCAUAAGGCCUUGGGUUUGAUCCCAGCUCUG